UUUAUCUUACUGAAGUGUGCCCA
rnacentral:piRNA from 1 species